AGAGUGAGUUGGGCAAUCGCCAGUGGGAUUUCUGAUUGCUCCACUGGAGGAAAGUCCGAACACCAUAGGACGGCGAGCCGGGUAACGCCCGGGCAUUGGGUCUUUGACUCGAUGACGAAAAGCGCAACAGAGAGUAGACCAGCCAGCGGCUUUUCGUUUUUUGACUAGUUUCCUUCAAAAAACGAAAAGUGCGGGUGAUGGGUGAAACGGUGCGGUAAGAGCGCACCAGCGCAUCUGGUAACAGGUGCGGCUAGGCAAGCUCCUCGCGGUGCAAGACCAAAUAGGAAAGCGUCCGAGAGUGCGUCCGCUCGAAUCUUGGGUUUUUCGUGAGAAACUCUAAAUUGAAGAGCUUUCUCAUUGAAUCUCCCAAGAUACGCUUUCGGGUAGGUCGCUAGAGCGAUUCGGUAACGAAUCGCCGAGAAGAAUGAUUGCCAUCUGCCUACACGGGCAGAUACAGAAUUCGGCUUAUAAACUCACUCUUUCU
rnacentral:RNase_P_RNA from 1 species